UGCAUGUCCUUCAGGUUGCUGUCGCUGCUGUUCUUUCCAGGCUUAUCACUCAACUGCACCACCUCGUUGGAGCUCUUCCCCAGCAGUGAGUUCUCCUUUACUUUCUCCUCUUCCAGUUUCUUUCUCAAAUGCUCCUUUUGCUUGCUAAGGGGUUUUUUCACCAGCUCAGACUGGUGUUUUUGCCUCUGAGUCCUGGGAGCAAAGUUACUGUUAUCAACAUUUUCAAAGUCCUUGGGGACCGAAUUCUCAUUAUUGCUGUCUGUUCUCGUUUUCUCCUUCGGUCGGUGGGAAAAAUAGCCAUCCAUCGCCUUCCCGUGCACGGCGCCGGCCCCGCGGCGGUGCGGCUGCGCGCGGUGUUCGCUGCCGGCGGCGGUGCCGCCGCGGUCCCGCUUCUCGCGGCCGGAGGCGCCGCGCUGCUCCUCUCCGGCGUCGAGGGAGGUGAAAUUCCAGACGAGGAGGGUCUGCAGCAGCAGCACGGUGAGCGCCGCCACCAGCGCCGAACGGGAGCGUCUCGCCAGCCGCCGGGCGCACGGAGCCGCCACCAUCUUCGCCGCCGCCGCGCUGCCGAGAGCCGCCGCAUCCGCCGCGGCGCGGAGUUU
rnacentral:lncRNA from 1 species